rnacentral:rRNA from 1 species
CCUACGGGGGGCAGCAGUGGGGAAUAUUGGACAAUGGGCGAAAGCCUGAUCCAGCCAUGCCGCGUGUGUGAAGAAGGCCUUCGGGUUGUAAAGCACUUUCAGUGGGGAAGAAAGCCUUGGGGCUAAUACCCUCGAGGAAGGACAUCACCCACAGAAGAAGCACCGGCUAACUCCGUGCCAGCAGCCGCGGUAAUACGGAGGGUGCGAGCGUUAAUCGGAAUUACUGGGCGUAAAGCGCGCGUAGGCGGUCUGAUAAGCCGGUUGUGAAAGCCCCGGGCUCAACCUGGGAACGGCAUCCGGAACUGUCAGGCUAGAGUGCAGGAGAGGAAGGUAGAAUUCCCGGUGUAGCGGUGAAAUGCGUAGAGAUCGGGAGGAAUACCAGUGGCGAAGGCGGCCUUCUGGACUGACACUGACGCUGAGGUGCGAACGCGUGGGUAGCAAACAGGAUUAGAUACCCGAGUAGUC